CAAGCUUCCUCUCUCCAUGUACUCGUAAACCAGAAACGUGUUGCGGCGGUGCGAGCAGAAUCCGAAGAGUUUCACGACGUUCCGGUGACGGAUCUCGGUUAGUGCUCUGAUUUCGUUGAGAAACUCUUGUUUUGUUGAUGGAUUUGUGAUUGAUGAGUCUGUUGUUUCGUUUAGCUUUUUCACCGCCAUGAUUGCGUUUGGUAGCUUUGCUUUGUAGACUUUUCCGUGUCCUCCGGUUCCGAUUAGGUAUUUUGAAUCGAAUUCUCCUGUUGCUUUGAUGAUUUCUUGGUAUCGGACUUUUCCGUCGAAGCUGAAGAUUGAUAAUGUUUCUCCUCCGGAUUCUGAAUCUGAGUUUUCUUCGAUUUGUUUGGUUCUUUUACGGAAACAGAUGAAGAUUCCGGCGCAGACGGAGAGGAUUAUGAUUGCUCCGAUGAUUGGAACUAGUAUGUAGAUGAUUAGGUUUCGAUCUU
rnacentral:lncRNA from 1 species